UUACUUCCUGAAACAGUCAUAAAAGCACAUUGUGGAAGUAGCCUACAUGCUAACGCUGCUGCGGUGAUGGCUCAACCAACUCCUUUU